rnacentral:rRNA from 1 species
CAGCAGCCACGGUAAUACGUAGGGUGCAAGCGUUAAUCGGAAUUACUGGGCGUAAAGCGUGCGCAGGCGGUUUGUUAAGACAGAUGUGAAAUCCCCGGGCUCAACCUGGGAACUGCAUUUGUGACUGGCAAGCUAGAGUGUGCAGAGGGGGGUGGAAUUCCGCGUGUAGCAGUGAAAUGCGUAGAUAUGCGGAGGAACGCCGAUGGCGAAGGCAAUCCCCUGGGCCUGCACUGACGCUCAUGCACGAAAGCGUGGGGAGCAAACAGGAUUAGAUACCCCUGUAGUCCCUGUCUCUUAUACA